UACGAAGGGGGCUAGCGUUGCUCGGAAUCACUGGGCGUCAAGCGCACGUAGGCGGAUCCUUAAGUCAGGGGUGAAAUCCUGGAGCUCAACUCCAGAACUGCCUUUGAUACUGGGGAUCUCGAGUCCGGAAGAGGUGAGUGGAACUCCGAGUGUAGAGGUGAAAUUCGUAGAUAUUCGGAAGAACACCAGUGGCGAAGGCGGCUCACUGGUCCGGUACUGACGCUGAGGUGCGAAAGCGUGGGGAGCAAACAGG
rnacentral:rRNA from 1 species